GUGCUCAAUCCCAGCGCUUUUUGCAUGUAGACGGGUGCCAGGAGAAAGCGCAAAAAAAAAACAAAAAAAACUGCAGAGAAGGAGAAAGACUUUCGUAAGUUCUACUUUGACACAUUCAUAUUA
rnacentral:ribozyme from 15 species